ensembl:lncRNA
UGUCGCGGUAAGGACUCAGAAGUGUGGGACAGACGCAUUUAGACGAAAAAAUCCAAUAAAUAAUCGGUUGAACCAGCCAUCAGAACAGGGCGACCGUCUCCUCUAUAAAUAGUGCCCUUUCCCUCUCGGAUUUCUUCUUUCUGCUGCUCUCAUCGCUCAGAGUGGAAGAAGAAGCGUAUGCGCAGACUGAAGCGUAAGAGGAGAAAGAUGAGGCAAAGAUCAAAGUAGACGCUGGUCCCAGCAGCAGCAGCGGUGUUCCUGUGUGGUGAUGCGCUGAGCGGCCAGGAGUCCACAGCAGCCUGGAGCCGAUCUUAAAGAGGAUAAUGCCCAGUGCUGGAUGACACCCCUGAUCCUUGACCAGCGGCUGUAGAUCUCUGGGACAAACCAAUCUUUACAGCAGACAAUCUUUACAGCAGAACCAGUGCUGUUUAACGCAAUAAUAAAUUAUGGUUACCACAACUUGA